CCGUGCUGCUUGGGAGCGCGCCCCGGGGCUCCGCCCUGACUCCUGUAGCGGGCUGGCUCUGCAUCCUGAGGCCGGAGCUGGCGGGUCCUGGACGGGAAAGGAAGACCCAGAGCUGUCACCACUUAGAAGGGACAACAUAACGAAGUUCAUCUUAUUACCAGUGGCUCUUAUAUGUUUGUGAGAAAAAAAUGUAACUGGAUUUCUGAUUCAUGGAACUUCAAAGAAAACAGAAGAUGGAUUUCAGGAUUUACAAAAGGAACAAGUUUAGGAAGUUCUGAAGAUUGAAAUUUUGUGAACUCAUAAAAUAGGUGGAAGAAUAAAGACGCCAUCUGAGGACUGGAAACUGUAUAAAACCUACCAUCACUGAUUCAAAGUUCAAGCUCGCAGUCUACAUGGACUGAAAAACUAGAAGCCAAGAAUUAACACAAAGUUGGCCCAGACAACCUGUUUGAAAUGUGGUGGUUUCAGCAAGGCCUCAGUUUCCUGCCAUCAGUACUUGUAAUUUGGACAUUUGCUACCUUCGUAUUCUCAUACAUCACUGCAAUAACACUCCACCAUGUUGAUCCUGCAUUGCCCUAUAUCAGUGACACUGGUACAGUAGCUCCAGAAAGAUGCCUCUUUGGAGUAAUGCUAAAUAUUGCUGCAGUUUUAGGUCUUGCUACCAUGUAUGUUCGUUACAAACAAGUUCAAGCAUUGAAUCCUGAAGAGAACCUUAUCAUCAAAUUCAACAAAGCUGGCCUUGUACUCGGGAUACUGAGUUGUUUAGGACUUUCUCUUGUGGCAAAUUUCCAGAAAUCAACACUAUUUGUUGCACAUGUAUGUGGAAGUGUGCUUGCCUUUGGUAUGGGUUCAUUAUACAUGUUUGUUCAGACCAUCCUUUCCUACCAAAUGCAACCUAAAAUUCACAGCAAACAAGUCUUCUGGGUCAGACUGCUGCUGGUUAUCUGGUGUGGAGUAAGUGCACUUAGCAUGCUGACUUGCUCAUCAGUUUUGUACAGUAGUGAUUUUGGUGCUGAUGUAGUACAGAAACUACACUGGAACCCCGAGGACAAAGGUUAUGUGCUUCAUAUGGUCACUACUGCAGCAGAAUGGUCUAUGUCAUUUUCCUUCUUCGGAUUUUUCCUGACUUAUAUUCGUGAUUUUCAGGCUUGCCGCAAAGUGAAAGGUCAGAAAAUAUUGGCUUAUCCAGUGGUCACUGUCCUUAAAGAAGACAGGCAGAUACAAGACACAGAAAAGAAGGUCAUGUGAAGACGGAGGCAGGAAUGGGAACUAGCCAAGGAGUGCCUAGUUGCAGGCAGCCAGAUGGAAAUGAGAGGCUAUGCAUUCAUUCUGGGUUAAUAAAAAUCAGGUUUGAUCAAGGAAGAUCCCCUGAAAAAUCUCCAGUGGGAGCAGAUGGCACAGAUGAUCCCAUGUUUCCGAGUGCCUCUGUUGCAGCUUCUUCUGAGUUCUACAUCCAGAAUGGCUUCAAGGUGUCUGACUGAGAUGAGCCAGCCUCACAGAAUUCUCAAGCCAGGACUUGACCAUAAACCUGAAUUUUCUCAGGGUCCCACAAAGAUUUAUCAGUGCCUCCAGUCAAAAAGAAAUAGUCUAGAGAACUAUGCUCACAUUCUCAAAAGAUGGAUGAUGGAUAUUUAUUAUCAUUUAAGAGGGGUUGGGUAUGAGUUGUUAUUGGUAGUGGUCAAGAAAAAAGCUGAAUAAAGGCAAUUAGAUUCAGUGAUCUCAUUAUAAAAAGAAAAGGGGCAUAUAGAAAUGUGAUAAUGUAAGUCAGAAUAGAAAGUGAUUUAGGUACAACACUUUGGACUCACCAAGAUAUGAUAGACAAUGGAGUAUUUUUUCUGAAAUUGUCCAAUGCUGAUGGACUAUAUAUUGCUAAUGUAAUUAUUGCCUUGUACAUUUAUAUAUAGUUAUUGUACUUACUGUAUAUAGUUUUUCUAUGUUAGUUAAAACCUUUGCUUUUUAUUUAAACAAAAAGGGGGAAAUUGUAUGAUAUAUUGUGUUUCUGACAAAUAAAGCUUGCCUGGAGAUCAGAGGGCAGAGCUAGCCACCAGUUAACCAUAGAGUUAGGUGGUAAUGGCUCAUGCUUUUAAUCCCAGCACUUGGGAGGCUCAUGUCUUUAAUCCCAGCACAAUCUGGAAGUGAAGACAGGAAUAUAAGGUAGAAGGAGACAGGAUCUCAGGCCCCUGCCUUUUGGUCUGAGGAUUUGCAGAGGUAAGAAGUGACUGUGGCUGCUCAUUUGCUUCUCUGAUCUUUCAGUUUUUACCCCAAUAUCUAAUUCCUGGUUUUUAUGGAUAAGACUAAUUAGGAUCAUGCUUUAAAAAGUACAGUGGAGCUGAGUCCUGUGUUCAAGACAAUAAACAGAUUAAAGAAAAUCCUGAUGUUGAAUGGAAUAAAGGGAAUGUUGACCUCAGGGCUAGGCUUCCAACAUGUGAAGGAAUUAAAAAAGAGCUUAUAUCUGUGUGUUGUGGUGGAUGCCUUUUUAUCCCAACAUUUCAGAGACAGAGGCAGAUGGAUCUCUGAGUUUGAGGUCAGCCUGGUCUACAAUGUUUGGCUGGAACCUCCAGCUCACUCCUGCUUGACCUGGAAAGUUCCAUUUCUCACUCUCCAAACCCCACCCUCCCAGAGAAUCUCCAACAACAAAAAAAAAGGUGUCAAAUGUCCAGUUCCACAUUCUUGGUGGCUGCAGAAGUUCCUUGCCUGAAGUUGCCAGUAGCCCAAGACCCUGCCUGAAGCAGUCAGCUUUUGACCAUUCUUGGGCACAAACCUGGCUUGUAGAGAACAUGUCAUAACCCCUCACCUACUGGGCAUACAAGCUUCCUGCUUUAGUUUGGUCAUGUGACUUCUCCAGCCUCUGAUAUCUGGGGCUAGAGGACUCACUGGGGGUUUCUUUGUUCAAAUAAACCUGUUCUUUUACUUUUUCAAUUCAGCUUGAUCUGGCUUCCUGCAUCAUCAGAGAAACCUAUUAUCAGGCUACAGAAAAUCUAUUAUCUUGGUGCUAAAACCCUGGGAGGUUGAGCCUUUCUGCUGGGUGGACCAGGUCCCCCAACCAUGUGAGGGGUCACUCCUCUCCCUUUUUCUUCCUCUCUGCCAGACAUGAUCGACUUUUGACUUGGUUUAAUUCACCCAUUUCUAAACCACUACCUACAGAAGUACCGGGUAACUCUUCUGGGUCAAGAUCUCUUUUGGGUCAAAGAUCCAGAAGAUCCCCUGCCAAGCCACAGCCACACCAGAGGAAGCCCAAUCCAUUUCCAUAGAAAAGAAAGUCUGUUCUGGAGGACCUUUGUGUUAAGGAGAUGUCCUUCCCAAAGGCUACCCCCACCCCUACCGAUAGACCCCAGGCUAUCACAGGGGACACCUCGCCCUAGUCUUCAGUCUCCAGCACAGGCUUGGAAAAGGACAACACCAGGUCUAAACCCAAUCCUCAGUCACCUCUGUGGCGUCUGCUGAAAAGUUUAUCCAAAUUGGGGCUGUCUGACAUCAUAUGUCCAAAAUACUUGGUUUUCUUUUGUUCUGUCUGUGGCCUGGGCUCAAUACACACUUGAUAAUCAGUCAAGAUGGCCACCACGGGGAACUCUUGACUUUAACAUCCUCUGUGAUCUUGAGACUUUUUGCCACAUACAGACAAGUGGUCUGAACUUCCUUAUAUCCAGGGUUUGGGGGUUCUGAAUUCCUGCUCCAGUGCUUACUGCUUAGUUCAGGACGACUGACUCAUUAAUGAGGCAGUUAUUCUGACCCACCCAGUGGUCACCAACCCUUACACCCUUCUCUUUAAUAUUCCACCUACAACUUUCCACUAUGCUCUGCUACAUGGCUUGGGACCUUUUCUCAGGACAAUAAGUUCAUCUCUUUCUCUCCAUGUAUCUUUGUGAUUCUGAUACUCUCCUCUUCAUGUUCUGUUUUUUCUGCAACUUCUGCCUAGCCUCCACCUGUCCAGCUAUUGGCCAGGGUGCUUCUUUAUUAACCCACUAACAAUGACACAUAUUCACACAGUGUAAAGGAAUAUUCCAUAAUGGAGACUUUUGAAGUUGGACUGAGUGCAUUUUUGCAUUAUGAUAUGGCUUAAAGCCUUUGGUGGCCAGGGAGUGGAGUGUAGUGAUUGGAAAGAAACCCCAAAGAGAGUGACACUAUUAGGAGGUAUGGCUUUGUUGGAGUAGGUGUGGCCUUGUGGAGGAAGUGUGUCACUGUGGGGGUGGGUUUUGAAGACUCUUUGCUCAAGCUACUCACAGAAACACAGUCCACUUCCUGCUGCCUUCUGAUCAAUGUAGCCAGCACUAUGUCUGCCUGCAUGCUGCUAUGCUCCACACCAUGAUGAUAAUGGCCUGAACUUCUGAACCGUAAGUGAGCCACCUCAAUUAAAUGUUUUCCUUUAUAAGAGUUGUUGUGGUCAUGUUGUCUCUUCACAGCAAUAGAAACCCUAACUAAGACAGAAGUUGGUACAAGGGACUGGGGUAAUGCUGUGAUAGGCCUGGCCAUUUUUUUGUUUGUAGGAAUUUAGACUUUGGUACUUUGGGUUAUGAAAGCAGUGGAAUGCUUUAAGCACUGCUUAGUGGGCUGUACUGGUAGGAGCAUGGAAGACAGCAGUGCAAAGAUUUGUUUGAACUGUUGGGUCUUAACACAAGAGUUUUCAGAGAAGAAUUUUAGUACAUUGCCUAGAAAUCAUUAUUGUGAUAUUUUGUUGAAGAAAGUGGCUGCCUUUUGAACUUGUCUGAAGAGUCUGCCUAAGGCUAAAAUGAAUUGUUUUUGGAUUACUGCCUGAUGCUAAAGUGAAGAGUUUUGGAUUAAUUCCAUUAGCAGAAGAAAUCUCAAAACAGCCUAGUAUAGACUCUGCCAUGAGGUUAUUAGUGGUAACUAAUGAAAAUUUAUAAUGAAAAGGAGCAAACUGAGCAGGAUAAAUUACAUAAUGGAAAAUUUGAGGAGAAAAGGAGUACCAGGAAGUGAAAUGGAGCUAAAUCCUGUGUUCAAGGAGAAAAACAGCUUACAAAUGGAAUAAAGGGAGUGGUGAGCUCAGGGGAAGAUCUUACCCAGCUACAUUUCCAACUUAUGAAGAAGGAAUUAAAGAAAAGCUUAGAGCAGGAUGUGGUGGUGCAUGCCUUUAAUGCCAGCAUUUGGCAGCUCUGAAUUUGAGGCCAGCCUGUUCUACUGAGCAAGUUUCUGGACAGUCAAGUAUACUCAGUGAAAGAGAGAAAGGUGCUGUAGAUGUAAUUGAGUGAGGAGGUCAUGUCCCACUCUCAGUAAGCAGCAGAAGUUGGCAGCUUUGACCAUGUGUUUCUGAGUUUAGAGUUAAGGAUAGAAGAAAAGAGUUAUGGAAUAAAGCCACUGAGGCCAGGCAUGUGUCAGGAGUGUCCCUGAGUGGAGGUCAAGUAGAGAUGCCAUUGUGUGAAGCUGUGAUGUUGAAAUUUGGAUAGCCUUGGAGACUCCAAGAUGUUACAGAUCCUAGAAUAAUGGGAUACCUGCCAAGGAGAGCUACUAACAGGAAGUGGAACCAUCCCAAGAGAAAGAAGUUUGUUGCAGCCAACAAAGCUGAACUGAGUUGGAGAUCUGAAGAGUGUUCCAACAUGAAACAUGAGUGUUAGGAUACUGUCCCCAUUCCAGCUGCAUGACCGCACAUUCACAGUUCAGGAGCUAAGCAAAGGGCCUUGAGUCUUACAUCAUAAGUGUGCACUGGUGAUUAUGUAUGCACGGUGUGGUCACGAUAUCUGCACAUGUGUGGCAUAGCUCUGUAAGCCACCUUCAAGAGCCAGACACAGAACCCUCCCCUCUGUUCUGUUCUCUCUUCCCCCACCAUCUUUCUCUCUCUCUCUGCAUAUGCUCCUUCCCCAGGCCUGGUUCUCCAGCACCGCCUAUCAUUCUUACAAUGGUGCUGUGAUGAGACAGACUCUUCCAAUGAUCUGGGGCUCGGCAUCCGGAAACCUAUACCUCGGUUCAUUGGGCCUGCGACUGCCCACUCCGCUUUUUUCAUUUGCCCAACCGCUGGACUCGCAAACCACACCCACUAACCAGAUUGGUGAGUUUUUCCCUUUCUGAUUCCCUGCCAUUUCCUGAGACUGUAGGCUAAGCUAUAUUCUUCGCACCAGACCCCCAGGGGGUCCUUGGCUGCAUAAUCACAAAUCAUUCUCUCUUGACAAAUUAUUGAAUGAUGUCUAGAUUCCUGGUGUGUGUGGGGUCCUCCAGUAUGUACGCCCAGUCCUUGCCCUUCUCAUGAUGAUGAUUGGGUUAUCUGUGCUGUUAUGCCAGUCCACAGACUACGCAUUCACAAGGACAUUUGAAAUAGGAGCCUGGGGAUCCCAUUUGUUAUUUUUAUUUUUAUUUUUUUUCCCUCUGGGACUGCAGUCAUGGGACAUGGGCUCCUCGCUGUUCCACUACUCCCCUGAAAUUUGGCUACAUAAUGACUGCUUCAACCCUGAUAUUUCACAGGAAUUAUCUAACUUCUGCCAGCAAAGGGGCAAAUGAAAAGAAUUACCUGAUCCCCAUGCUUUUACCUAAGCUCUAAACCCUCUCUUUCUGAUUCUCUCUCUCCUGACCAUGUGCAUUCCCGAACCUAAGGAAUCUCUGACUUCAAAGAACCUUAUCUUAUCUGCUCUUGGCUCUGUGCUCUCUUCUACAGUACUGGGCAGGACAGGUCUGAAAGCAGGCUAGGAUGCAUGCAAAUAAGUUUACGAUUAGGACCCACAUGGGGAUCACAGUAAUCAGGAUGGCACUUUAGCCAGAGAUCAGUUUACAACCUGCCUCCUGGCUGGUCUUUCUAAAGCUGUCCUCGUCAGCAAAUUAUCAAAAAAAAAAAAAUCAAGACAUGGAAUAAAAUCCAUCUCUUGUCUCCCAAACCUCCCCAACAAAAGGGCUAAAACUUAAGCAUCUGGCCGGGUGGUGGUGGCGCACACCUUUAAUCCCAGCACUCCGGAGGCAGAGCCAGGUGGAUCUCUGUGAGUUCGAGGCCAGCCUGGUCUACCAAGUGAGUCCCAGGAAAGGCGCAAAGCUACACAGAGAAACCCUGUCUAGAAAAACCAAAAAACAAAACAAAAAAAAAAAAAAAAAACUUAAGCAUCUGGAGAGCAAAGCUCCUCACCCCACAGGUGGAAGUUUCAGCUGUGGCAUUUAAGGUGCGUCAUGGGAGAAAUGAGAAAGCCUGAGAACAGAAUUGCCAAAUGCUGGCACACACUAUCCAACCAGCUCCUGAAAACUGCCAGGUCCCUGUUUUAAGUCCGGGAAAGAAGGUCAUGAGGGCUAAUGUGUGCCCUACCAGGCCAUCAAGUGAGCCUUGUUCAAAGUGCCACCUAGAGAGUUAAGUGGUCAGCUGACUGCCUCCAUGCACCCAGGGGCAUGGGAGCAUCAAACAAAGACCUCUAGCAGACCUCCUAGGCUUGGCCACAGGCUCACAGGGAACCCUGAAUGCAGCUUCCUUCUGGACACUGGAGCCACUUACUAAGUCCUGAGAGAGUUUUGGGGUCCCAGCUCUCCUUGUUUCCCUAUUGUUGGGGUAGGGAGACAGCCUUACCCACCUCACCAGACUUAACUGUACUUUCAGGGUUGCUUAAUAGGAAAAGAUUUUUCAUUUCAUUCGUUCCCUCCAUGUGCCUCACUCCAGACCUGUCAGAAGUGCUUCUCCUCAUGCACAGUGACACAGACAGGGCCCUGCUCUCUGCCUUGUCCCCAAUUCCAGAAGAAUGAGGUCUCAUCCUACAAGCUUUCUCUUCCCAGUUCCCUCAUCCAAUUAAUUACUCAGCUAAUUGUUAUAGGAUCAUCAUAGAGCCAGAAUUCAAGGACCAUCAAAUAUAUACCCAGAUAGUAAAGGAACAGUAACAGUUAAAAGGUAUUUACACCCCCAGACCCAAAAGUGUCUGGGCUCUGCAAAAACAGACUUUAAUAUAACAAUCUAUUACUGUCAGUUGCUCUCAACAAUUGAUUGCCUGUGUCUCUUGAGUGCUAAACUAGUAAAGGCAACAGGUGCCUUAAAAUAAUGUCUCUGAUAAAGCUUAUCUCAGGUUAAAAUAUUAAAACCUUGUUCCAAUCUCUCUCUCUCUCUCUCUCUCUCUCUCUCUCUCUCUCUCUCUCUCUCUCUCUCUCUCUCUCUCUCUCUCAUUAACACUAACCAAUACAAGUAGAGUACCAAACACUACAAUGGUCACCAGCCCAAGACUUUAAUUUUCUCAUUGCUGCUUCUUUUUUCCCUAAGCUCCAGGAACCAGCUUAAGCCCAUUCAACAGGUCAGAUCUACUUCAGAUAAGUGUCAAACCCAAACUUUCCUGGUCUGGGGACCCCCCAAAGAAAAAAGUAAAAAUAAUAGUAAUGAUUCUUUUUUUCUCUGUCUUACCAAUAUCCUGUCAGACACAAAAGCAACCAGAAUGCUAAGCCAAGAAAGAUGAACAGCUCCAAGGCAGCAGACAACAGCCCACCAUCCCAGGACACCUGUCUACCUCAGAAUCCCCCUUCCCUACCACCCAAGAGCCAACCAAUGCCCACCAAGUCAACUGGAAGCAAUUUUUUUCUGGGAGAAAUGCCACCCCUAUUCCUGUUCACUUGCUUUUUUAUAAUAAGCAAAAACUCUGGAAUGUUAGAAUUCUACCCUCACUCCAGCUGCAUGACUGCACAUGCACAGUUCAGGAGUUAAGCAAAUGGUCUUGCAUCUUUCAUCAUCAGUACGGGCUAGUGAUUAUGUACAUAUGUGCAGUGUGGUCACACAAUCUGCGCAUAUGUGGUGUAGCUCCAUAAGCUCACAUGCACCUUAAAAGAGCCAUGACUCAGACCUCACCCUCUCUCUCUCUCUUUCUGUUCUGUUCUCUCUUCCCCCACCAUCUUUCUCUCUCUCUGCAUGUGCUCCUUCCCCAAGCCUGGUUCUCUUGUCCUCCCCCACCCCUCUUAAUAAAGCUUUGAUACUGAUACUGGGGAACUCGUGGCCGUGACCUUUCUGUGUGGUAAACAGUGGUUGAAGAUUGAGAGUUUGGAGUUUGACCAGCUGGUUUUAAGUCUUGCUUUGGUCCAGUGCUGUGGGAUGUUCUGUAUGGCAAAUGUGUUGCUGAUUGGUCAAUAAAUAAAACAUUGAUUGGCCAUUGGCUAGGCAGGAAUUAUAGGCGGGACAAGGAGGAGAAUAGAGCUGGGAAGUGGAAGACUGAGUCAGAGACACUGCCAGCCGCCACGAUGAGAAACAACAUGUGAAGAUGCUGGUAAGCAACGAGCCAUGUGACAAGGUAUAGAUUUAUAGAAAUGGAUUAAUUUAAGCUGUAAAAACAGUUAGCAAGAAGCCUGCCACAGCCAUACAGUUUGUAACCAAUAUAAGUCUCUAUGUUUACUUGAUCGAGUCUGAGUGGCUGUGGGACUGGCAGGUGAGAGAGAUUUGUCCUGACUGUGGGCCAGACAGAAAAACUCUAGCUACAGUCCAGUAUUUCCUCAUUAUGCUCCUUUUCUUGCAUUUUGGAAUGGUAAUGUAUAUCCUGUGCUAUUGCAUGUUGGAUGUAUGUGAUCUCUUUUUUUAUUUUGAUUUUACAGGGGAUUACAUUUAAGAGUUGCCUGAAUCUCAGAAGAGACUUUGAACUUUGGACAUGUAAACAUUGUUGAGACUGUUAUAGACUAUGAGUACUUUUAAAAUUGAGCUAUAUGCAUUUUGCAUUGAUAUUAUUACAAACUUAUGGGGGCCAGGGAGUGGAAUGUGGUAGUUUAAAUGUAACUGGCCCCCAUAAUCUAAUAGGGAGUGGCAUUACUAGGAGGUGUGGCUUUGUUGGAGUGGAUAUGGCCUUAUUGGAGGAAGUGUGUCACUGUGGCAGAAGGCUUUGAGUUUCCUAUCCUUAGGAUACUGCCCAGUGACUCAGUCAUCUUCCUGUUGCCUGCAGAAUGUAGUACUCUCAGCUACCUCUCCAGUAUCAUGUCUGUGUGCAUGCUGCCGUGCUCCCAGUUAUGAUGACUGAACCUUAGAAAUUGUAAGCAAGCCACUCCAUUAAAUGUUUUCCUUUAUAAGAGUUGCCAUGGUCAUGGUGUCUCUUCAGAAUAAUAAAAAUCCUAAGAUAUCUUGCUAUUUUUGUUUUUUAUAUAUUUUUUGUAUUAAUCCUCUAUUGGAUGUAUAAUGGGUAAAGAUCUUUUCCCAGUGUGUAGUCUGCCACUACAUCCAGAUGAUUGUUUCCUUUGCCAUACAGAAACAUUCAACUUCAUGAGGUCUGAUUUAUUGAUUGUUGGUCUUAGCGCCUAUGCUAUUGGUGUCCUGUUCAGAAAGUCUUUUACUGUGCCAUGAGUUCAAGCCUAUUACUCACUUUCUCUUUUAUCAGGUUCAGGGUAUUUGGCCAAAUUUUAAGGUACUUGACCCACUUUAAGUUGAUGUUCAUGCUGCAUAAUACAUAUAAGUCUAUUUCUAUCCUUCUACAUGUGGCCAAUUAGUUUGACCAACACUACUCAUUAAAGAUACUGUCUUUUAACUCAGUGUGUAUUUCUGUUUUCUUUGUAAAAAAAAAAAAUAAACCAGAUAUCUACAGGUGUGUGGACUUAUGUCUUGGAUUCAAUUUUAUUCCAUUGAUCAAUGUGUCUGUUUUUAAUGAUAAUACCAUGCUGUUUUAAUUAGUAUAGCUCUGUCAUAAACAAGAUCAGGGAUGAUGGUAGUUCUAGCAGUUCUUUUAUUAUUUAGGAUUGUUUUAGCUAUCUCAGUUUUUUGUGAAACUUGUUCUUUUAAUUUUUUUGUGAAGAAUUGUGUUGGAAUUUUGAUAGUGACUGCAUUGAAUGUGUACAUUACUUUUGACAGAACAUCCAUUUUUUCUAUGUUAAUCCUACCAAUCCAUGAGCAUGGGAGAUAUUUCUGUCUUCUAAUAUCUUCUUCAAUUUUUUGCUCUCAUGCCUUAAGUUUUUAUUACAUAAGUCGUUCAGUUGCUUGGUUAGUGUUACCCAAAGAUAUUUUAUUUUAUUGUCUUGAGGGUACUCUGAAAGAUGGUUUUUCUGAUUUUUUCCCUCAGUCAUUUGUCAUUUGUAUCUAAGAAGGCUACUGAUUUUUGAGUAGUAAUUUUGUAUUCUGCUACUUUGCUUAAAGUGGUUAUCAGCAGUGGAAGUUUCCUGCUGGAGUUUUUAAGGUCCUUAAUUUAAACACUUGUAUCAUAUACAAAUAAAGAUAUGGUGAUAUGUUA